UUUCUUGUGACUCUGUUGGUAAGGCGUUGCGCUAAUAACUCAAAGGUCAUGGGUUCAAAUACCAGGAAUAGAA